rnacentral:rRNA from 1 species
GAUUGAACGCUGGCGGCGUGCUUAACACAUGCAAGUCGAGCGGUAGCAGGCGUAGCAAUACGUGCUGACGAGCGGCGAACGGGUGAGUAAUGCUUCGGAAUCUUCCUCGUAGUGGGGAACAACCUGGGGAAACUCAGGCUAAUACCGCAUACGAACUACGGUUGAAAGCAGGGGAUCGCAAGACCUUGCGCUAUGAGAUGAGCCGAAGUCGGAUUAGCUAGUUGGUGGGGUAAAGGCCUACCAAGGCGACGAUCCGUAGCUGGUCUGAGAGGACGACCAGCCACACUGGGACUGAGACACGGCCCAGACUCCUACGGGAGGCAGCAGUGGGGAAUAUUGGACAAUGGGGGCAACCCUGAUCCAGCGACGCCGCGUGUGUGAAGAAGGCCUGCGGGUUGUAAAGCACUUUUAGUGGGGAUGAAAAGCCAAGGGCUAAUACCCUUUGGUCUUGACCUAACCCAAAGAAAAAGCACCGGCUAACUCUGUGCCAGCAGCCGCGGUAAUACAGAGGGUGCAAGCGUUAAUCGGAAUUACUGGGCGUAAAGCGUGCGUAGUCGGUUAUCUAAGUCGGAUGUGAAAUCCCCGGGCUCAACCUGGGAAUUGCAUUCGAUACUGGAUAGCUAGAGUUCGGCAGAGGGAAGUGGAAUUUCAGGUGUAGCGGUGAAAUGCGUAGAUAUCUGAAGGAACAUCAGUGGCGAAAGCGACUUCCUGGACCAGAACUGACGAUCAGGCACGAAAGCGUGGGGAGCAAACAGGAUUAGAUACCCUGGUAGUCCACGCCAUAAACGAUGACAACUAGACGUUGGGAACAUUUGGUUCACAGUGUCGCAGCUAACG